GACUCCGUAGCUCAGUUGGCAGAGCAAUUGACUCUUAAUCAAUGGGUCGAGGGUUCGAAUCCCUCCGGGGUCA
rnacentral:tRNA from 1 species